AUAAUAAUAAUAAUAAUAAGGCUUAGAUAUAGGAAUAGGUUAAUGUUAAAAAGUAAUGCAAUAAUUUAAUUAGUCAUAGACAAAUCAAUGUAGGAAUAUUAAGUUUAUGAUUGGAGCAAUAUUAACAAAAAACUAUUUGGGAAAUGAAUAUUAACAUUGACUUCAAAAUCAGUGCCUAGACAUAAUGCUGUGUAUAGUUGGGAGGAUGGAAGGGUGGAAGGAAACGUAUUUUGACUCUAUAUAUAUCAAGAUGUAUUUCUCUCCUUACAACCUUGAGCAUGCGUUUUUGGAUUACUUUUUUAAUUAUAAUAGUAUUGAGUCUAUCAAUGUGGUAAGGAAAACCGCUUUUAUGUUUGUUAAAAUUUUAAUCUGUUUUGGCAAUCUUUUUUCUGUUUAAACACUCGGGUACAUGAAAAAAAAAAAAAAAUGAA
rnacentral:misc_RNA from 1 species